rnacentral:lncRNA from 1 species
AAAGGUUAGGUAUAGUGGAUUAAAGAGUUCUUUUUUCGAAUGGGCGCGGUGGCUCACGCCUGUAAUCCCAGCAUUUUGGGAGGCUGCGGUGGGUGGAUCAUCUGAGGUCAGGAGUUCGAGACCAGCCUGAUUAACAUGGUGAAAGCCUGUCUCUACUGAAAAAUGCAAAAAUUAGCCGGGCGUGGUGGUGCACGCCUGUAAUCCCAGCCACUCGGGAGGCUGAGGCGGGAGAAUUGCCUGAACCCGGGAGGCAGAGGUUGCAGUGAGCUGAGAUUGUGCCAUUGCACUCCAGGCUGGGCAACAAGAGUGAAACUCCAUCACAGAAAAAAAAAAAAAAAAAAAAAAAAAGAGUUCUUUUUUCCAGCUGAAGAUAGUCAAGCGGGUUAUUUUCUACUGUCUUCCUCGGAAAGGGACGGGUAAAUUGAAGCAAAAAGCAGACAAGUUCUAUGGGAUUUGCUGGCAUGGAUUUCCCAGGGUGGCAAAGUGCUAAGAACUAAACCUUUAAAGCUAACAAAAUGUACUGAUGUCUUUGCAAAGUAUCCAAGACCAACAAGAAAGUAAUUUCCCACCUCACCCUACCACCACCCAGAAAAGGAGCACAGAGAUGGGCAAGAGAGUGGCUGCAUCUGGCAUCCAGCCAGAGGAGUCCGUGCAGGGAUUCUGGAUCCCUCUUCCCCCACCCCACUGCCCUUCCCCCUCCACCCCAGCAUUUUGGAGAAGCAAGAAACUGUAAUGAUGCAGCUCCCUCAAGUGUCACAUGAACAUACUGGAAAGAGCCUCCUGAGGUAAAUAUGCCAUGCAGACAGAAACAAGCAAUGGCUCAACAGCAAUGUAUGAGGUCCAAGGACCAGGACCAAAGGGAAAAACAGCCAUCUCACCAGACACCUGCCUACUACCAGAUGCGUCAUCUCCAAUAUUAGCUAACUCCCUGGAACCUGGACUCAAGGUGUGAAAUAAAGGUUAAUGGGAAACCGCAGGAGUCAAAAGGAGGGGGCAGGAUUAUUGAGGAUUCAGGCUGUUGAGAAAUGAAAGUUUGGAUCACUCCCCAGAUAAAGAACCUUGACCAUUUAAGGGCAAUGGAAAUAUAGAAUAGGCAGUAGAAGAAGGAAGCCAUAGAUACCAACUAUGGCCUCUCAAUCAAUUACAAAACUGAGAAUUCUGACAGUUUUGUGUAUUUCCUCUUUGCAUGUGAUGUAUAUGUGUGUAUUUGUAUAUAUUAACCAUUUUCCUUUUUCUCUCCUCAUUAUUUUAUGAAAGCUGUUGAAUAUAAACUCUACAAUUUAGCCUUUAGGUAAGAGAAUAUUCAGUGGGACUUUGAUUUGAGGAGUAUUUAAGACAGCCAGAUGAGACUACGAUAACUGUUGGAACUGUGUGUCUCCUCAUUUGGGGAAAGGGGUGAGAACUCUGCAUUUCUCUGAAGAACAGAGUUGACUUUGUGUUAUACAGAGUUCAAAUAUAUAUAUAAAAUGAUGCAUGUGGAAGCUAAGAAGCCAAAGGAGUUCACCAAGACAGUUAUCGAUAUAUUGCCUCUCCGCUCCAAAUCCACCCUUCUUUGCCCUGUUCCAUGAUACUAAUCUGGCUCCUCGGUCAGCCAGUGCAAUGUCAUCUGUUGCUGGUAGAGUGUAGGGGAGACACUACAAGGUAUAGUAAAGGGGUCAGAUGCGGUGUCUCAUGCCUGUAAUCACAGCCCUUUGGGAGGCAGAGGCAGGAGGAUCACCUGAGGCCAGGAGUUUGAGACCAGCCUGGACAACAUGGUAAAACCCCAUCUCUACUGAAAAUACAAAAUUAGCACGCACCUGUAAUCCCAGCUACUCGGGAGGCUGAGGCAGGAGAAUCACUUGAACCUGGGAGGUGGAGGUUGCAGUGAGCCAAGAUCGCAUCAUUGCACUCCAGCCAGGGAAAAAAGGCAAAACUCUGUCUCAAAAAAAUAAAUAAAUAAAAUAAAAU